rnacentral:rRNA from 1 species
GCUCACCAUAGCAAUGAUGUCUAGGGGUUUUGAGAGGAAGCCCCCCCACACUGGGACUGAGACACGGCCCAGACUCCUACGGGAGGCAGCAGUGAGGAAUAUUGGACAAUGGAUGGAAAUCUGAUCCAGCCAUGCCGCGUGCAGGAAGACGGCCUUAUGGGUUGUAAACUGCUUUUAUACGGGAGCAAUAAGGGUUACGAGUAAUCCGAUGAGAGUACUGUAUGAAUAAGGAUCGGCUAACUCCGUGCCAGCAGCCGCGGUAAUACGGAGGAUCCGAGCGUUAUCCGGAAUUAUUGGGUUUAAAGGGUGCGUAGGCGGCCAUUUAAGUCAGCGGUGAAAUUUUGCAGCUUAACUGUAACAGUGCCGUUGAUACUGUUUGGCUAGGAUUUGGUUGUAGUGUGCGGAAUGUGUGGUGUAGCGGUGAAAUGCUUAGAUAUCACACAGAACACCGAUUGCGAAGGCAGCACACUAAGUCAUUAUUGACGCUGAGGCACGAAAGUGUGGGGAUCAAACAGGAUUAGAUACCCUGGUAGUCCACACUGUAAACGAUGAUAACUCGCUGUCGGCGAUACACAGUCGGUGGCCAAGCGAAAGCAUUAAGUUAUCCACCUGGGGAGUACGACCGCAAGGUUGAAACUCAAAGGAAUUGACGGGGGCCCGCACAAGCGGAGGAACAUGUGGUUUAAUUCGAUGAUACGCGAGGAACCUUACCCGGGCUCGAACGGUGCAUGAAUAUACGAGAGAUUGUAUAGUCCUUCGGGACAUGUAUCGAGGUGCUGCAUGGUUGUCGUCAGCUCGUGCCGUGAGGUGUCGGCUUAAGUGCCAUAACGAGCGCAACCCUUGUCAUUAGUUGCCAUCAGGUCAAGCUGGGGACUUUAAUGAGACUGCCACCGUAAGGUGUGAGGAAGGGGGGGAUGACGUCAAAUCAGCACGGCCCUUAUGUCCGGGGCGACACACGUGUUACAAUGGGAGGUACAGAGGGCAGCUAUCCGGUGACGGAAUGCUAAUCUCCAAAACCUUUCUCAGUUCGGAUUGGAGUCUGCAACUCGACUCCAUGAAGGUGGAUUCGCUAGUAAUCGCGCAUCAGCCAUGGCGCGGUGAAUACGUUCCCGGGCCUUGUACACACCGCCCGUCAAG